rnacentral:piRNA from 1 species
UGGAGCUACCAGACCCACAGCUGCUCAGA